ACGAUAUAGUGGCAGACGGGUGAGUAACGCGUGGGAACGUACCUUUCACUACGGAAUAGCUCUGGGAAACUGGUGGUAAUACCGUAUACGCCCUUAGGGGGAAAGAUUUAUCGGUGAAAGAUCGGCCCGCGUUGGAUUAGCUAGUUGGUGAGGUAAUGGCUCACAAAGGCGACGAUCCAUAGCUGGUCUGAGAGGAUGAUCAGCCACACUGGGACUGAGACACGGCCCAGACUCCUACGGGAGGCAGCAGUGGGGAAUCUUGCACAAUGGGCGAAAGCCUGAUGCAGCCAUGCCGCGUGAAUGAUGAAGGCCUUAGGGUUGUAAAAUUCUUUCGUCAGGGAUGAUAAUGACCGUACCUGAAGAAGAAGCCCCGGCUAACUUCGUGCCAGCAGCCGCGGUAAUACGAAGGGGGCUAGCGUUGUUCGGAAUUACUGGGCGUAAAGCGCACGUAGGCGGACUUUUAAGUCAGGUGUGAAAUCCCGAGGCUCAACCUCGGAACUGCAUUUGAAACUGGGAGUCUGGAGAUCAGGAGAGGUUAGCGGAAUACCGAGUGUAGAGGUGAAAUUCGUAGAUAUUCGGUGGAACACCAGUGGCGAAGGCGGCUAACUGGACUGAUACUGACGCUGAGGUGCGAAAGUGUGGGGAGCAAACAGGAUUAGAUACCCUGGUAGUCCACACCGUAAACGAUGAGAGCUAGUUGUUGGCAGGCAUGCCUGUCGGUGACGCAGUUAACACAUUAAGCUCUCCGCCUGGGGGAGUACGGCUGCAAGGUAAAACUCAAAGAAAUUGACGGGGGCCCGCACAGCGGUGGAGCAUG
rnacentral:rRNA from 1 species